AUGAACGCUAGCUACAGGCUUAACACAUGACAGUCGAGGGGCAGCAUGGUCUUAGCUUGCUAAGGCCGAUGGCGACCGGCGCACGGGUGAGUAACACGUAUCCAACCUGCCGUCUACUCUUGGACAGCCUUCUGAAAGGAAGAUUAAUACAAGAUGGCAUCAUGAGUCCGCAUGUUCACAUGAUUAAAGGUAUUCCGGUAGACGAUGGGGAUGCGUUCCAUUAGAUAGUAGGCGGGGUAACGGCCCACCUAGUCUUCGAUGGAUAGGGGUUCUGAGAGGAAGGUCCCCCACAUUGGAACUGAGACACGGUCCAAACUCCUACGGGAGGCAGCAGUGAGGAAUAUUGGUCAAUGGGCGAGAGCCUGAACCAGCCAAGUAGCGUGAAGGAUGACUGCCCUAUGGGUUGUAAACUUCUUUUAUAAAGGAAUAAAGUCGGGUAUGGAUACCCGUUUGCAUGUACUUUAUGAAUAAGGAUCGGCUAACUCCGUG
rnacentral:rRNA from 1 species